CAAAGGACUGAAGGCGAGGCAGCUCCAUACCACAUUGCAAUUACACAGUGAAGACCUUUGAAAAUGAAGGCAGCUGAGGCUGACCAUGUCCCUAUGCUGCCUUUAGAAGGGCAGUUCUUGGUGGGUAAUAUCUG